rnacentral:lncRNA from 1 species
AUACUAGUCAAUAUAUUGUAAAGCUGCCCUUAUCUUACUGAAAUUGCCCUUUUUAAUAUUAUAUAUUUUAGUAUACCCCUUGUGUUUUUGCUGGGUUAUUUCAAAAGACACCAUAUUGUGAUCGCUAUUUCCCUAAUGCUCACAUACUUAAAUGUUGGUCAAAAGAUCAACAUUAUUUGUUAUAACCAGAUCCAGACAAACUUCCUUUCUAGUUGGUGCAUGUACCAUUUGUGACAUUAAGUUUACAUAGUUACAUAGCUAAAAAGAGACUUGCGUCCAUCAAGUUCAGCCUUCCUCACAUUUGUUUUUUGCUGUUGAUCCAAAAGAAGGCAACCCCCCCCCCCAGUUUGAAGCACUUCCAAUUUUGCAACAAGCUAGGAAAAAAGUCCUUCUUGACCCCAUAAUGGCAGUCAGAUUUAUCCUUGGAUCAAGCAGUUAUUACCCUACAUUGAAAGAUUAUAUCCUUGAAUAUUCUGUUUUUGCAAGUAUGCAUCUAGUAGCUGUAUGAACAUCUGUGUGGUCUCUGAUAAAACCACUUCUUCAGGCGGAGAAUUCCACAUCCUUAUUGUUUUGACAGUAAAAAAACCUUUCCUUUGCCUUAGACAAAAUCUUCUUUCUUCCAGUCUAAACGCAUGACCUCGUGUCCUAUGUAAAGUCCGGUUUGUGACUAGAUUUCCACACAAUGGUUUGUAUUGGCCCCAAAUAUAUUUGUAUAAUGUUAUCAUAGCCCCUCUCAGGAGACGUUUUUCUAAACUAAAUAGGUUUAAAUUUGCUAAGGUGUCAUUUAAUAUGUUCAAAAACAUGAUUUCCCUUGCUGAAUUUCUGUUUGAAAUGAAUAAAGCCAGUACAUUUGAGACAGUAAUCUCAUAUCAGUCUUAAAGGAACUGUUAUGAAUUCAAUAAUGUAUCCAUGAAUGAGUUUCCGUUAUUUAAAGGGACACUCCACUGCCCAAAUAAAAUAAAAUAAAAUAAAAAAAAUCAUUGUUUAGAAGAUAUACUCGAAAGAAAAAAUGCAGGCAUUUAAUUGUGCAUUUUUUUCAUUGGUAGUAUUUUUUUUAAAAACAAGCUUUCAAAACCUGCAGAUCUCUUGUUUGCACCCUUUGCAAGCCUAACCUUUCUUCCCUAACUAAUUAGUAUGCUAAUAAAGUUAUUAACGUGUUCAGAUCACAUUAUGGAGACUGAGAUAGCGCAUUAGAAAUCUUCAAACAUGUACAUUAAAGCUAUUAAGAAAUAAUAAUAAAAACAUUAAAUUAGAUCAUUAUUAUGCUAAUCAGGGAUUCAAUAUGUUCCAGUCCAUUUGAAUGUUUUGUGCCUCCUGGCAGAUGAUUGUGAUUGCCUCAUUCCCUUUACUGCAACAAAAAUCAAAAACAUUACUACUGUGCACAUUUAUUUUGAUUCUGAACUCAGAAUAGAAUAUAUUGUCGUCUUACAAAAAUCCACUUCAUUAAUAAACACAUUCAAAAAAAAAAAUUAUUAAUAAUAUAUAUUUUAACCCCAGACGUUGAAUGUGUUUAGUAGCAAAGAAUAUGCAGCGUGUAAUAGUAGAAUAUAAAAAAGUUAAUUUAUAAUCACAACUGAAAUACGAGUUAUUGAAUUUAUUAUAUUUGUAUAUCCCUGGCUGAAACAAUGCUGAGCCUCCUGAACUUAAAUUUGUUUAAAAACAGUACACUUUCCAAACGUAUUUCAUCUGUUGUAAAAUAAUUUAAAACAAUUAAAUUCAUAAAUGAAUACAGUUAAUGAAUGCAUUCAGAGGUAUAUUUACUUUUACACACUGCAAAGCUUUGCAUGUCUUGUGCGAUGUGUUUUGUUGCCAUCUGUGUUCACUGCUUUUUAUCCAUUUUAAAUAAUUAUUCACAUUGAUCCAUUUAAGUGCAAGAUAUUUGAGCAAACUACUGUUAUUUAAAGGUCUGACCAUUAAAAGCAGUUUGUAAAAUAUAGCAUAGGUGUUAUAUUGUACGACAUGUAUAAAUAAAUACAGUUAUGCUAUCUUUUACAGAUCACCUCCUCCCAGCCAUAUGUUUAUAUAUAUAUAUAUCCUAUAUGCAUGACACAUGAUCAAAAUCAUAACUUAUAGGUGACAUAUAUAUAUAUAUAUAUAUAUAUAUAUACAUACACACAGACUUGAUCGAUCUAUCUGUCUAUCUAUCUAUCAUUAAUCUGAGAUUCACUGUAUAAUGUAUAAUACAUUUACCACAGUGCCUUAGUGCUAUAAUACAAAUGAAAUCUGAUUAUUCUACAGCAGGAAGUAAAGCUUCUAAUUUGUCAAUCUUUCUGGAUGCGUGUCGAUGUACAAUAAAUCCCCAAGAGUAUCUCAUAUGAUUGUAGGGAGUGAUUUGUAUACAGAUUUGGGUAUAAUGAUGUAUGUAUCCAGCUGCCUAAUGCAACAUUCUAUUACCUUCAACUGCCCUAGAGUGAAGGAGAUACUUCCAGGGAUUCUGGUACUUACAAUUCUAAGGAAACAUUGAAACAGUAGUAAAGUUGGUUGAAGUGGACUUGGUUAGGCAGGUAUUAUUUGUUCUUCAAAAGCAAAACUCAGUUCCGUUAUAUAUCUUGAUACAUUUAUCAUAGAAUACAUUUUAAAUGCAUGGUUUUACGACAUUGGCUAAGCUAUGGCACUGGCAGUUGAUGGUUUUAUUUUUGGGGUAGGGGAACAAAUUAAAGGAUAUUAUAUUACUUUAAAACAUAUAUUACAAUAAUGAAGAUUACACACAAUUAUACAUUCAUUAUUAUACAGUCUUUUUUUAUGUGGGUGGGUGACAGCUUUGUAUUGACAAUAAUUAUAUAACUCCUUCCUUGUUGUCCUGGAAAAUAUUUUUCCCAGCGCGGCUGGAAAUGUUCCUCAACUUUAUAUGAUCUGACAUGCAGAGGAAACACUCGGUCGUGCAGGAUGUGUGCUGAGAGAUAUAGAUGGACUUUACAAAUUUUAUAGAAAAUAAGUAUACAAAGAAAGAAAGUAUACUAAGAAAAAGUAUGUUUACCCCUUAGAGAUGACUGUAUGGAUGUUCACAUGUCUCUUAAAAUCUUGUUUAAUGCUCGUAUAAGUUACUUUAAUCAAACACAAUCUGUUUUUACUAGUAACACAACAAAUAAUGGUAUUGUUCUUGUACAUAUUGAACAUAUCAUUCAAAUAUUCCCAGUUUAGGAUGGAAAAAAGUAUGUGAACCCCUUCAACAAAAGCUAGUUUGAGUUAGAAAUUAGUAAACCUGGGGUCAGACUAAUGAAUUAAGAUUGGAGUUGGGGGUUAGAGGUACUUUAAAGCUAUUCACAAAAACUAUCUGUUGAUGUAAACCAUGCCUUGGAAAAACAAGAGCUCUCAGAAGACCUGCGAUCGAGAAGAUGGAAAGGGUUGUAAAGUUAUCACAGAGUUUAGAUAUUCAUCUGUCCACUGUUAGAUAAUUUAGUACUGUGCCAACUCUCCUUAGAAGCACACCGCACAAUUCUCGUUGAGGUAAAAAAUUAACAAUAUAGAGUGACAGCGGAAGACUUAAAGAAACUAUUAGAAGUGGUUAACAUCUCUGUUCAUGAGUCUACUAUACAGAAAGCAUUGAACGGGCAUGGUGUACAUGGCAGGACACCACGAGGAUAACAGAUCCUUUAAAACAAAACAAAAAAGAACAUUGCUGUGUGCCUGAAGUUUGUCGAAGACCACCUUGACAAUCCACAACACGACUGGGAAAAUGUUUUGUGGACUGGUGAAACUAAGGUUAAGUUGCUUGGGAAGAACAUGCAGUAUGGCAUACAAUGAGAACAUGCAGUAUGGCAUACAAUGAGCUCUGCAUACCAACAUUAAAACAUCGUCUCAAUGGUUAAACAUGGUUGAGGGUGCAUCAUGAUUUUGGACUGAUUUGCUGCUUUGGGUCUGGAUCACCUACCAUCAUCAUCGAGUGAAAAAUGAAUUCCCAACUUUUUAAAGAUAUCCUACAGGAUAAUAUCAAGGUGGAUACGCAUCAGCUGACACUCAGUAGAAGUUGGGUGAUGCAGCAGGAAUAUGAUUCUAAAACAUUGAAGUCGAUGCACUACAGAAAGGCUUCAAAAACAGAAUAUCCACCUUUUGGAGUGGCCCAAUCAGAGCCAGGACCUUUAUCACAGAGAUAUUGUGGGUAGUGACCUCAAGAGAGCUGUUCACACCUGACAUCCUAAGAAUAUGGCUGAGCUGAAGCAGUUCUGUGAGGAAGAGUGGUACAAAAUUUCAAUAUCUAAUCUACAGCUACCGAGAAUGCUUGGUUAAGGUUAUUGCUGCCAAAGGAAGAUCAACUAACUAUUAAAUCCAAGUGUUCACUUACUUUUUUUUUUUCACAACACUGUGAAUGUUUAAUACAGGGGUGCUCAAUAAGUAGAACUACAACUCACAUGAUGCUCUGUAUGCCUUUAGAAUACAGUUAGCAUGACAAAGCAUCAUGAAGGCUGUAGGUUUAAAACAUCUGGGGAUCUACCUUUUGGGCACCCCUGGUUUAAUACUAUGUUUUCAAUAAAGACAUGAAAAAUUUUAUUUGUGUGUUGUUAGCGAAAGUACAUUGUGUUUGUUUUUAGCUGUGACUUUGAUGAAGAGGAGAUUAUAUUUUAUGAACAAUUCUUGCAGAAAAAAACAACCAAUUCCAAAGGGCUCACAUCCUUUUUCUUGCCACUGUAGAUUAAAAGUUUAGAUUUAAAAACCCAGAGAUCUAUUUAUAGUGAAUACAUCUCUGUAAAUUCCACAGGUAACUCACACUUCAUGCGCUGACUGGCAGUCUUGUGGUAUUAUGAUGAAUUUUAUUUUUUUAUUUUAAGAAUCAUGAGUAUAAAAUAAUGUGCAUUACACAUUUGGCUGUAUUGUAUCACACGUCAUACAGGUAACUGUGAUAACCAAAACAACUGUUCUCCCAUUGACAUCUAUGGGGAUAUUUUUAUUCUGUUCCCAAAGAUGUGCUUAUCCCUCAUUACAGAAUCCAGCUCCUUGAUUGUUUGUUACUAGUUACAAUUAUGAAGCACUAUUUGAAAAUACAUUUUAUUACAAUCAAGCAAAUAUACAAUUACAUUAACUUAUGAAAUAGAAGAGUCUUAUGGUUUAAUUAAUGAAGUCAGAUACAGAAGCAGUCGGUUGCAAAUGUAUCAUUACAGUAUAUAUAUGAGAUGCAAAAUGUAAUAUCAGUGACUAAAAAAAUAAUAAAGAAAACUACUGUACAAAGGGUUUUACCUCCUUCUAUAAACAGGCUGUGUGCGAGGUGUUUCAGUAACACCCAACAUUUCAGCUUGAAAAGCCCUUUUUAAGGGUAACAUUGAAGAAGCAUCAUACGCCUAAAAAUGUAAAAGGUUACUAUAGCCCUUUUGAAAGAGGGGACCUUCCCGGUGUCAUGCCCUUUUGGAUUUUACUUACCUGAAAUCCAGUGGCAGGGAAAACUCUGGCACUGUUCUUCUUAUAGAAAAUCCUGCAAUGGACCAUUUUGCCAGCUCAGAGCGCAUGUGCGAGUCUUGGGAUAGCAAGGAAAGGGGAGGGAGGAAAAAAAAAAGUGUGAUGGAGGGAGGCGGGAGGGCUAGCUUGCAGGCGAUCUGCAUCCAAAGGGAAGAUUUUCAUGUCUGUUGUCAGAGAGCAGUGCACGCAGACAACAGACGUAAUCUAGGCACAGAACUGACAUUAGGCAGCCAGGAACAGAGUUCUAGGAUGCCAAUGUCACGUGUCCGGUGGAAGCAACAGCUCCAGCACACAAAUUCAAAUAUCUCAAUAUGUGCAGUAUUUCAAGCAGAAACACUACGCAUAUGGACUCCUACCACCAUGGCCACUUCAAGUCACUGAAGUGGUCAUGAUGAUUGGCGCAACCCUUUUAAAUUAAGUGAUCAUUAAAGUCUAUGAUAUUUUAUCAGCCAACCACAAUGAUCCUAUGUAGCUACUUGCUAAUUGAAGUAUAUGUGUUUAAUAUAUUUUACAUCAAAUUCAAAUUUAUUUAUUUUUUAUUUGGCCUCCUCGCAGAUUGAAUCAAUGGUAUACUAUGAAAAUUGAUUGGCAUGGGGUUCCGAGUUCUGUUUUUAUGACAGUUUUAUAAAAUAUGUCAACAUGUCUCUUUUUCUUUAAAAAAAAAAAAAAAACUAAUUUGUCAUUGUAACUGUUAGUUAUCUAAAAUGUUUCAGGUACCUACUCAAAAAAGUUGGACCUUAACCGCAGAUUUAAAAAAAAAAAACAAGGCAUGUCAUGUUCCAGCAAAUUUGAAAUUAAACAUCUGUAGACAAGUUUUUGAACAUCGCAAAAAAAAAUAAAAAAAUAUAUAUAUAUUUUUUAUUUAUUUAUUUUUUUUGCUUUCAAAUGCACAUUUAUGUUGUUGCACAAUUAUGUUGGGACAAUAAGCUACCACUUCUAAAAGUUAUGUAUUUUUGUUAUAAUAAAUUAUAAUUUAUGUUAUUUAUUUUAAACUUUUUAUAUAAUUUUUAAUUUUCUGUACAACAGUUUCAACCCUUGUUAAAUCUUUACCUAUGUUUUGCACACUUUUCGUAUAAAUUGUUAAACUUUUAUAGGAAAUUGCAAUGAAUAUAAACCUCAUAACCAUUCUAUUCAUAAGAUACAGCAUUCAAGUGUUUUUUUCAUGACAAACCAUGGCUUUGAAAAGAAUCACCAUUGCUAUGUAAGCAUGAUUAGAAAUUACAGGUGAUUUACAUGUAUUGCAUUAACAUUUUGUAAGUUAAAAUACUCAAAAUCUGGGACAGUUCCUAUUUGGGUACUUAUGGCAUGCACUUGAUUUUCCAAGUAUAUAAUAUUACUGUAUGUACAUAUGUAAGUAGCUAGCAUUAGUGAAUGUACACUCUAUAAAUAUUUCUCUGUUAGAAGAAAGAAAGAAAAUCAUGGAUUUCUAUACUGCUUGCAAUAUACAUUUUAGAACAUUUUACAAAUAUGAAGUGUAAAUAUGGAAAUGUAUACUUCACUGUAAAAUAUUUGCAUACUGAUUUAGUAAUUAGACAAAGAGAAAAAACUAUAUGCA